GCGCCGAUAGUCUAGUGGUAUGAUAUUGGCCUUCCAAGCCGACGGCCCGGGUUCAAUUCCCGGUCGGCGCA
rnacentral:tRNA from 1 species